rnacentral:rRNA from 1 species
AGUGAACGCUGGCGGUAGGCCUAACACAUGCAAGUCGAACGGCAGCACAGUAAGAGCUUGCUCUUACGGGUAGCGAGUGGCGGACGGGUGAGGAAUACAUCGGAAUCUACUUUUUCGUGGGGGAUAACGUAGGGAAACUUACGCUAAUACCGCAUACGACCUACGGGUGAAAGCAGGGGAUCUUCGGACCUUGCGCGAUUGAAUGAGCCGAUGUCGGAUUAGCUAGUUGGCGGGGUAAAGGCCCACCAAGGCGACGAUCCGUAGCUGGUCUGAGAGGAUGAUCAGCCACACUGGAACUGAGACACGGUCCAGACUCCUACGGGAGGCAGCAGUGGGGAAUAUUGGACAAUGGGCGCAAGCCUGAUCCAGCCAUACCGCGUGAGUGAAGAAGGCCUUCGGGUUGUAAAGCCCUUUUGUUGGGAAAGAAAAGCAGCAGGUUAAUACCCCGCUGUUCUGACGGUACCCAAAGAAUAAGCACCGGCUAACUUCGUG